GACGAACGCUGGCGGCGUGCUUAACACAUGCAAGUCGAGCGGUAAGGCCCUUUCGGGGGGUACACGAGCGGCGAACGGGUGAGUAACACGUGGGUGACCUGCCCUCAGCUCUGGGAUAAGCCUGGGAAACCGGGUCUAAUACUGGAUAUGACUCCAUGACGCAUGUUGUGGGGUGGAAAGCCUUGUGCGGCUGAGGAUGGGCCCGCGGCCGAUCAGCUUGUUGGUGGGGUGAUGGCCUACCAAGGCGACGACGGGUAGCCGGCCUGAGAGGGCGACCGGCCACACUGGGACUGAGACACGGCCCAGACUCCUACGGGAGGCAGCAGUGGGGAAUCUUGCGCAAUGGGCGAAAGCCUGACGCAGCGACGCCGCGUGAGGGAUGACGGCCU
rnacentral:rRNA from 1 species